rnacentral:lncRNA from 1 species
GGGAGAUGGCGUGAAAUGGCCGCCGGGACAGGCCUGUGGCGGUGAGGGGCUUCCCAGCCCUGGCAGAGGUGCUUACCAUCAAUCAGGUGUCAGGCCCACCUGAACCUGUCUCACACCCACGGGCUCUCGCUGCUGGAAAAUGCUUGUUUGAUCUAGCUUUGCUUCUGUUUUCCCACCCCCACCACACUGAUCCACACAGCGGACGAAUCCAGUGGCUGCCCUGCUCCGGGCACAGCCGGGGGUUUUGGGGUGAGGUUGGUCUCCUAUGGACUUUCCAGGGGGCUCAUGCUCCCCCCUCACAAGUUGGAGGAGCUGCUCUGCACCGUGGUCUGCUGGGGCUGGACGUCAGCACAUGGCUUCUUCACAGGCAAAAAGCACCCUACAUCCUGCACGGGUGGGUGGGCCGAGAAGGUGGCCUGGGUGUUGAAAGCCUGUGUGUGGUGUUACACAUGGGACCAGAUGAAAUCCUGAAACCCUCCUUCCUGACCUCAAAAUCCAGGGGCUCUCCCAGCGCUCGACCGAGGGACGCUUGUGAAAGAGGCGCUUCCCAAGGGAACGUGCGUUCGGAGGCAGGGAAGCGCAGCAGGACGCGUUUCCCUCGGGAAGCGGAGAUCAGAGCAGGGGAGUGGAGGCGGACGGCCAAGGGAAGCGGGGAGGACUGGUAUGCACAGGCUGCGUGUCCUCGGGGGAGAUCUGUUUCAUAUGCAGCCUGACUCGCUGCUUAGGGCACACAGGGGAAAAGAGGAGCUGCAGGAAGAAGAUGAGGUCCUCGGUUUGGCCAGCAAGCGUGGGGUCCCCCCUCGCACGUGUCUUUUGUGAGCAUCCCUUUGCAGAGGCAGCCCGGGUGCCCUAGGAUCUGGGCACAGGAGGCGCAGAUGGGCCCCGUGGCGCAAGCUGGCUACCCUGUGAAGCUGUUUUGGCAGGAGAGGAAGAUGUGAGCAACAGCAUCUGUUACCAGCCCGGGAGGAGACAGAGGGAGCUUUCACCAGCCACAGCCCAGGAGGGCAGGGGGGGCACACAGCAUGCCGCCGGGAGCCCCCGUGCCCCCGCCUUCUGCCAUCCAUCCCCUGCUCCACAUUUGCUGGCACCAACUUUGAAAGAAAUCACAUUAAUUUUGCCCUGAUGAAAAGCUGCUGGAUCAGCAAAAUGGAACCACUUAUUCAGGGAGCAGCUGAGCAGGGGCCAAGUGCAAGUCACCCCUGAGCACCUCCAGCAGCCGCCUG